UACGUAGGGUGCAAGCGUUGUCCGGAAUUAUUGGGCGUAAGGAGCUCGUAGGCGGUUUGUUGCGUCGGCUGUGAAAUCCCGAGGCUCAACCUCGGGUCUGCAGUCGAUACGAGCAAACUAGAGUGUUGCAGGGGAGACUGGAAUUCCUGGUGUAGCGGUGGAAUGCGCAGAUAUCAGGAGGAACACCGGUGGCGAAGGCGGUUCUCUGGGCAUUACCUGACGCUGAGGCACGAAAGCCAGGGGAGCAAACGGG
rnacentral:rRNA from 1 species